UACGGAGGAGGCAAGCGUUAUCCGGAAUUACUGGGUGUAAAGGGCAUGUAGGCGGGACGGCAAGUCAGAUGUUAAAGUCCCAGGCUUAACCUGGGGGCUGCAUCUGAAACUGUGGUUCUGGAGUGCUGGAGAGGAAAGCGGAAUUCCUAGUGUAGCGGUGAAAUGCGUAGAUAUUAGGAAGAACACCAGUGGCGAAGGCGGCUUUCUGGACAGUAACUGACGCUGAGGCGCGAAAGCGUGGGGAGCAAACGGG
rnacentral:rRNA from 1 species